UCGAGGAUCUUCGGCAAUGGGCGCAAGCCUGACCGAGCGACGCCGCGUGCGGGAUGAAGGCCUUCGGGUUGUAAACCGCUGUCAGAGGGGAUGAAUGGCCGUGGGGUUCUCUCCACGGUUUGACAUAUCCUCAGAGGAAGUACGGGCUAAGUUCGUGCCAGCAGCCGCGGUAAGACGUACCGUACGAACGUUAUUCGGAAUCACUGGGCUUAAAGGGUGCGUAGGCGGCGCGGAAAGUUGGGUGUGAAAUCCCUCGGCUUAACCGAGGAAUUGCGCCCAAAACUGCCGUGCUUGAGGGAGAUAGAGGUGAGCGGAACUUAGGGUGGAGCGGUGAAAUGCGUUGAUCUCCUAAGGAACACCGGUGGCGAAAGCGGCUCACUGGAUCUUCUCUGACGCUGAGGCACGAAAGCUAGGGUAGCGAACGGGAUUAGAUACCCGCGUAGUCC
rnacentral:rRNA from 1 species